rnacentral:rRNA from 1 species
GACGGAGGGUGCAAGCGUUGUUCGGAAUUACUGGGCGUAAAGGGCGCGUAGGCGGUCUGUUAAGUUCGGCGUGAAAUCCCCCGGCUCAACUGGGGAACGGCACCGGAAACUGGCAGACUAGAGUACCGGAGAGGAGGGUGGAAUUCCUGGUGUAGCGGUGAAAUGCGUAGAUAUCGGGAGGAACACCUGUGGCGAAAGCGGCGCACUGGACCACAUCUGAUGCUGAGGCGCGAAAGCUAGGGGAGCAAACAGG